ensembl:lncRNA
GGGAAGAGUUUCUACCUGAAGAUCCUUCCUUUUGGAGUAUUAGAUGAGUCUUGAUUCUUGGGAUGAUCGAGGCAGAGAGGGGCUGACGGUGUUUCAGAAGUGAGAAGCUUUCCAUGCUGGCACUGUGAGCAGCCUUUGACCGAGGGGUGAGAGCCUCACCAUCCUGCACACGGAGUCCCAAGCAGACUUAGAUUCCCUCCCAGCUGACAUCAAUGGUGGAACUUCUACGGGCUCAGUAAGGACAACUGCAACUGUAAACAACAAAAACAGAAAUGAGUUUUUUGCUCCGCGGUAUGAAGCCAUUUUUAUAGAUUUCCAGAAUCAGCAGGCAUAAAAAUAGUAGGUAUUUUGCAGGCUGUCUCUCCUUCCCUUGGUAAAAUUGCCUUUGUUUGUGAACUCGCUGGCAGACAAACCCAAGUGUUCUGAGGAAGGUGUGCACGUUGCGGCUCCUCAGAAGGUGUUACACGAACAAAAUUGUGGUGAGCUAUAAAGAAUGCAUCAUAAAAGCUGUGGAGCUCUAUGGAAGCAGAUCAAACACACCUAUUUUUCCUGUGGCUCUAGAGGAUAUCCUUUGUGACAAAAAAGCCACUGAUUUGAGGGUAGUUAAUUUCUAGGCUGCUUUUGAGCAAGGGAUUUUCAACGUGCUUUGUUGUUCAGUGCUCAGGUCCUUUGUGUUCUUGUGUUUUAAAGCUCUGGGGAUCUUGAGGUGCCUGGAAACUGCCUUGAGGCAGAGCUGUGGUAAUUAGGCUUUUGCUUUCAGCUGGGGAGAAGGAGGACAUGAUGUGGCUGAACUGAACCAGGCAGCAUCUUCAGGAUGGAACUUUGUUUCUGAAGUCUCAACUUUCUGUGAAAGAAAAUUUCAUUAGGGAAGAGUCAGUUUUAAUAGUUUCAGAUCCAUCAAAGCACAUGGAGCUCCUUGACGGUAUUUUGGGGAUGCUAUACAUCAGAAUGAUGAUUGGAGGGAUAGGCAGCCCUGGAGAUCACAGCUGUACUGCAAUGGAUUAGUACUUCAUUGUUUUGGGAUGACUUUGUCACUUCUGGAUUCUUGUUUGAAUUGGAGAGCAGUCAGGUGCUGAUGCAUCGGGUGUGAUGAAG